rnacentral:rRNA from 1 species
UAGGGUAUCUUGCGCAAUGGGCGAAAGCCUGACGCAGCCAUGCCGCGUGAAUGAUGAAGGUCUUAGGAUUGUAAAAUUCUUUCACCGGGGAAGAUAAUGACGGUACCCGGAGAAGAAGCCCCGGCUAACUUCGUGCCAGCAGCCGCGGUAAUACGAAGGGGGCUAGCGUUGCUCGGAAUUACUGGGCGUAAAGGGCGCGUAGGCGGAUGUUUAAGUCGGGGGUGAAAGCCCAGGGCUCAACCCUGGAAUUGCCUUCGAUACUGGACAUCUUGAGUACGGGAGAGGUGAGUGGAACUCCGAGUGUCGAGGUGAAAUUCGUAGAUAUUCGGAAGAACACCAGUGGCGAAGGCGACUCACUGGCCCGUUACUGACGCUGAGGCGCGAAAGCGUGGGGAGCAAACAGGAUUAGAUACCCUGGUAGUCCACGCUGUAAACGAUGAGUGCUAGUUGUCGGCAUGCAUGCAUGUCGGUGACGCAGCUAACGCAUUAAGCACUCCGCCUGGGGAGUACGGUCGCAAGAUUAA